UUGAAUGUCCUCUAGGGUUCCGCGGCGGCAAGUCCGCCGGGCUGGUCCGAGAGAGGACUCACGGCGACCCGUUGUCGCCGUGCCACGGAAGGAUAAAAGCCUGGGAGAU
rnacentral:sRNA from 2 species